AUUCACUUAAGCAACGGAAACUCAACUGCAGGAAAGCACCUUAAAAUCCAUCCUUUCUUUGGGUGGGAAGGAAGCCGGUGCAGCUUCUCCCCGAUUUCCUAACAUACCGGUCAGGAUAUUUCGCAGAUGACAUUUGUUUGCCCUGGACUCACAGCACACGUGAUAGCUGGAGGCAGGAUCAAAGUGCACUCAGAAGGACUAAGGCUGUCCUCUAAGCUUGCCCAGUGACAAGACAAGAGAAGGAAAAGAGAAAUCCAACACUCAGCACAAAGAGACGAAGCUGUUAACGUUUGCAAUCAGUAUAAUGACCUACAUCAAAAACACACAGGCACCAAAAUCUUCUUGUAAUUAAACACGAAUUCAUCAAAAGAAGUGUGAGUGGAAUCAGCAAACAACAUUAAGAGUUUCUGUGUGACACGAAGAUAAAUAAUUAGAAAGUGUAAUUGUUAUAAUCUUUUAACAAAAAAACAAAACAAAAUAAACAGACAUGAGGCAAUGUCAGCAGGAAAAAAAAAAGUGUGGGGUACUUUGAGAUGUGAAAGACAAUACAGAGUGAAGCCAAGGAUUUGAACCCAGAGCUUUGUACAUACAGUGUACAAAGUGCUCUACCUCAGAGCUCCAUCCUCAGCUAAGAUAACGGUCUUCUAAAUCCUAGCUCACAUACAGCUUUUUGAAAGCAAAGCCCCCCUUUGAGCCAACCCACUGUUAUCUACAGAUUUGGUACUUGGUUAGCAGCUGAAGAUGUUGAGAAAAUGUCUUUUCAGAAAACAAGAUGAGGCUUUGCAUGGGGAGCAGGAAGAGAGGCUGAGAUAAAGAAGACGAAACUUGGCAGUCUUGGAAAAGUUUCUCCUUGCUGGCCCCGACUAAGGUGAUACCCAGACGUGGGAGAUAAGGCCUCCCCACCGCCCCACGCAUGCCCCACAAAACCUCUGUGGCCAAACAGAUGGCAGCAGCACAUUUUUAAACCGCUUUUCACACAGUCACUGUUUUUUGCCGCUUGCUCUUUAGUCAAAAGUCUCACCAGCUGUCACCAUCUCAAGGAAAAUGUCAGGGGCCGUAUCUGCCUAUGCCUGUGCUCAAGCCAGCAGGGGACAGGGGCCCAGGAACCUCAGCUAGCGUAGGUACAGCUGGUAAGGUGAUAAAAGACGAGGGUUCCUCACAAAAUGAACGUAAAUAAGUUCAUGGCCAAUCCUUCCCCACCUUCCCAGGAACUAAAUGUCUAUCCCUCCCAUUCCUGAUCUUCCCCGGCACAUCUCACUGAGGUCCAUGCUAGCAUUUCCACUCCAUAGAAAGAACAGUGGAGAAGCCUGGCGUAGAGCCACACAACUGACCCUGUGGGAUCCUUUCCUUCUCUGGACCUCAGUGUCACAAUGAAGCCAGCUAGAUGUCCUCUGAAGGCCCUCUCAGCAGGGCUCUGGAUUCUUGCCUGAUGUCAGCCAAGUAUUUCUGAUUCCUCUCUGACCACCACAAGGACAGCCUACUAAAUCCCCAGAAAUCGAAGCCUAGGGACUGCCAGAGGAUACCAAAAUCCUGCCCUUGUUUUUUCUACACACACACAUACACACACACACACACACACACACACACACACAUACACACACACACACACACACACACACACACACACACACACACACACACACACACACAUAUCACUAGCUACCAGAAGGGGAAGAGAAAAGAAUCUCGAUUAGUAAUUCACUGAACCAAAUCCCUGCAGCCUUCCAAACUACACAGUCAAACCGAUGGAGAACUUGGGAGACGUGUUUAAAUUUUUCCCGUUUAACCAUGUAAUUGUUUUUAUUCCCAGUUAUCUCCUCUUGGAGGCGUCUGCUUGACUUACUGAGUACAUCUUUCUCCAUAUUUGAAAUCAUUCAUCAAUCACUCCAUUACGCACAAUGAAUUUCACUGCCACUAAGUUGCCACACGCUACAUGGAGGAGAAGACGUGUGGGUAUGAUCUCUCCGAGUCAGGGGCAGGCUCAGAGCUCAGCCCCGGAACCUGCUUCAGAUCCGCUAAUCUCUGCUCAUUAUUCUUCCAGCAUCAAGGUGGCCCAGAGAGCUGUCCUGAAGAGACGAUCUCUAAAGAUAUUUCUAUUUUUCCUGUUCCAGGGGUUGGAACUAGGGUCUGGGCAAAUGCUGCGUCUAGCUAGUUCCUACCUUUGGAUCAAUGUACACAGUAAAACGGAGCAGGAACUGGGCUUGACGCUAAGCCUCCGUGACCCUGCUGCCUUGACACAGAGAUCCAGUCUCCUUGAACACCACAUACGUGGCAUCGUCAAUGUAGAAAAGUCAAAUGUGUUUACUGCUUUCUGCACGGCUGCCAGCUGGCUGCUCUCUCGGGGGACUCUGAAGCCGAGCUUACAAACAGUGACUUCUGUUGAGCUUACAGUCAACAAGUGGCUCCGGCAUGGGGAGGAGGAACUAAAUCACUGCCCUGUGGGACCUCAGGAUCGGAGCCGCAGGACCUCGGAGGCCAGACUCUAGGAUUUCCCAGGCUGCUGCCCUUGCAUCAUGUAUGAAGCCUACCGAGCACAUUCACGCCCAACUUCUCUCCGCACGCCGGGAAACGCUGACUUUUGAACCACACAUUUAAACUGAUAAUAGAGCCCCGAAGGAGCAUUCUAGUUU